rnacentral:rRNA from 1 species
AGGAUGGACUCGCGUCCAAUUAGCUAGUUGGUGAGGUAACGGCCCACCAAGGCGACGAUUGGUAGCCGGACUGAGAGGUUGAACGGCCACAUUGGGACUGAGACACGGCCCAGACUCCUACGGGAGGCAGCAGUGGGGGAUAUUGCACAAUGGGGGAAACCCUGAUGCAGCGACGCCGCGUGGAGGAAGAAGGUUUUCGGAUUGUAAACUCCUGUCGUUAGGGACGAUAAUGACGGUACCUAACAAGAAAGCACCGGCUAACUACGUGCCAGCAGCCGCGGUAAAACGUAGGGUGCAAGCGUUGUCCGGAAUUACUGGGUGUAAAGGGAGCGCAGGCGGACCGGCAAGUUGGAAGUGAAAACUAUGGGCUCAACCCAUAAAUUGCUUUCAAAACUGCUGGCCUUGAGUAGUGCAGAGGUAGGUGGAAUUCCCGGUGUAGCGGUGGAAUGCGUAGAUAUCGGGAGGAACACCAGUGGCGAAGGCGACCUACUGGGCACCAACUGACGCUGAGGCUCGAAAGCAUGGGUAGCAAACAGGAUUAGAUACCCUGGUAGUCCAUGCCGUAAACGAUGAUUACUAGGUGUUGGAGGAUUGACCCCUUCAGUGCCGCAG